GGUGUUUUGAGGAUUUGAAAAUUAUGCUGUUCUGAGGAUUUGAGGAUUCUGAUCUUCUUAGAAUUUGAAGACCAUGGUGUUCUGAGGAUCUGAGGAUGUUGGUGUUCUGAGGAUUUGAGUGUUAUGGUGUUCUGAGAACUUGAGAAUUUGGCUCUUCUAAGGAUUUGAGGAUUAUGGUGUUUUGAGUGUUUGAGGAUUCCGGUGUUCUGAGAAUUUGAAGAUUAUGGCGUUCUGAGGAUGUGAGGAUUUUCGUGUUCUGAGGAUUUGAGGAUUAUGGUGUUUUGAGGAUUUGAGAAUUAUGGUGUUCUGAGGAUUUGAGGAUUAUGGUGCUCUGAAGAUUUGAGAAUUCUGGUAUUCUGAGGAUUUGACGAUUAUAGUGUUCUGAGGAUUUGAGGAUAAUGGGGUUUUGAGGAUUUGAGGAUUAUGCUGUUUUGAGGAUUUAAGGAUAAUGGUGUUCUGGGGAUUUGAGGAUUCUGGUGUUCUGAGUAUUUAAGGAUAAUGGUGUUGAUGACAGAAUGAGAGGAUAAGAUGAUGGAAGGAUGAAAGGAUGAAAGGAUAAGAGGACGAGAGGAUGAGAGGACGAAAGCACAGAAAGCACAGGAAGGAGAGAAAGGUUGGAAAGGAUAGACAGGAUAGAAAAGAUAAAAAGAACAAAAAGGACAAAAAAGGACGAAAAUGAUGAAAACAACGAAAAAGGACCAAAGAGGACAAAAAGGACGAAAAAGGACGAAAAAGACGAAAAAGGACGAAAAGGACGAAAAAGGAUGAAAAGGACGAAGAAGGACGAAAUGGGACGAAAAGGACGAAAAGGACAAAAAAGGACGACAAAGGACGAAAAGAACACAAAGGACGGAAGAGAACGAAUAAGGACGAAAAGGACGAAUUAGGAUGAAAAAGGAUGAAAAGGACGAGAAAGAACGAAACAGGACGAAAAGGACGAAACAGGACGAAAAAGACGAUAAAGGACGAAAAGGACGAAAAUGGAUAUUAAGGACGAAAAAGGACGAAAAAAGACGGAAAUUUGACGAAAAUGGAUAUUAAGGACGAAAAAGGACGAAAACAACGAGAAAGGACCAAAGAGGACCAAAACAACGAAAAAGGACCAAAGAGGAUGAAAAAGACGAAAAAGGACGAAAAGGAUCAAAAAGGACGAAAAAAUUUGACGAAUUAGGACGAAAAAGGAUGAAAAGGACGAGAAAGAACGAAACAGGACGAAAAGGACGAAACAGGACGAAAAGGACGAAACAGGACGAAAAAGACGAAAAAAGACGGAAAUUUGACGAAAAUGGAUAUUAAGGACGAAAAAGGACGAAAACAACGAGAAAGGACCAAAGAGGACCAAAACAACGAAAAAGGACCAAAGAGGAUGAAAAAGACGAAAAAGGACGAAAAGGAUCAAAAAGGACGAAAAAGGACGAAAAAAGACGAAAAUUUGACGAAAAGGAGGAAUAAGGAGGAAAAAGGACGAAAAGGACAAAAAACAACGAAAAGGAUGAGAAAGAACGAAAAGGAUGAAAAAGAACGAAAGGGAUGAAAAAGGACGAAAGGGAGGAAAAAGGACGAAAAGGACGAAAAUGGAUAUUAAGGACGAAAAAGAACGAAAACAACGAAAAAGGACGAAAAGGACCAAAAAGAACGAAAAAGGACGAAUAGGAUGAAAAAGAACGAAAAGGAUGAAAAACGACAGAAAGGAUGAAAAAGGACGAAAAGGACGAAAAAUGAUAUUAAGGAAGAAAAAGGACGAAAACAACGAAAAAGGACCAAAGAGGACGAAAACAACGAAAAAGAACCAAAGAGGACGAAAAGGACCAAAAAGGACGAAAAAGACGGAAAAGGACGAAAAUGGAUAUUAAAGACGAAAAAGGACGAAAACAACGAAAAAGGACCAAAGAGGAUGAAAAAGACGAAAAAGGACGAAAAGGAUCAAAAAGGACGAAAAAGGAUAUUAAGGACGAAAAAAACGAAAAAGGACGAAAAUGACGAAAAUGGAUAUUAAGGACGUAAAAGGACGAAAAAGGACGAAAAGGACGAAGAAGAACGAAAUAGAACGAAAAAGACAAAAAGACGAAAAAGGCCGAAAGAGGAGGAAAAAUGACGUAACGGACGAAAAUGGCCGAAAAAGGACGAAAAGGACGAAAAAGGAUAUUAAAGCCGAAAAAGGACGAAAAAAGACGAAAAUUUGACGAAAUAGGACGAAAAAGGCGAAAAAGGACGAAUAGGACGAAAAAGGACGAAAAGGACGAAAAAGGACGAAAAAAGA